UUUCCGUAGGUGAACCUGCGGAAGGAUCAUUCACAAUAAGUGUCUUAUGGCACUUUUUAAACAAUCCAUAUCCACCUUGUGUUCAAUGUUAUGAGACCACUUUUCGUUAUCUUUUAUGUUACGGAAGGGGGAACCUCUCCAACUUACCAACUUCCCCUUUAACUUAUUUGUCUGAAUAUUUGUUAUCACCAAUUAACUUAAUACGAAAUUACAACUUUCAACAACGGAUCUCUUGGCUCUC
rnacentral:misc_RNA from 1 species